rnacentral:rRNA from 1 species
GAUGAACGCUGGCGGCGUGCCUAAUACAUGCAAGUCGAGCGAACAGAUGAGGAGCUUGCUCCUCUGACGUUAGCGGCGGACGGGUGAGUAACACGUGGAUAACCUACCUAUAAGACUAGGAUAACUUCGGGAAACCGGAGCUAAUACCGGAUAAUAUAUUGAACCGCAUGGUUCAAUAGUGAAAGACGGUUUUGCUGUCACUUAUAGAUGGAUCCGCGCCGCAUUAGCUAGUUGGUAAGGUAACGGCUUACCAAGGCAACGAUGCGUAGCCGACCUGAGAGGGUGAUCGGCCACACUGGAACUGAGACGCGGUCCAGACUCCUACGGGAGGCAGCAGUAGGGAAUCGUCCGCAAUGGGCGAAAGCCUGACGGAGCAACGCCGCGUGAGUGAUGAAGGUCUUCGGAUCGUAAAACUCUGUUAUUAGGGAAGAACAAAUGUGUAAGUAACUAUGCACGUCUUGACGGUACCUAAUCAGAAAGCCACGGCUAACUACGUG